AUGAAGACCGCAGCUAAAUGCGCGUCAGAAUGUGAACUGCAGGACACAUGAACACCGAUAAGUUGAACGCAUAUUGCGCAUCGGACGUCUCAACCCGACCGAUGCACACAUCCUUGAGUGCCUACCAAGUUGUCAAUAUCCUAUUAUCAAACUGACUGUCCCACCUCGAGAUGGGCUGUCGCAGCAUGGCGUGCUCGGACCCGCGACCGACGGGACCUUGGGCGCUUAAUACUAUGAGAGUGUUAAUAGAAGACAUAUACGGGUUCAAAUGGUGAGAGAUGGACGGGCGCGCGCGUAUCGCACGGUUCGGCUUACAGUAUCAACCCGGGAUGAAACCCCCGCAGCCUAUCACCAGGCGCUAGCAAAGGGGUCCUAGGUUGGCUAGGGUCGAGUAACACGGGGAGGUACAACCGCGCUCGGAAUCUCCGACCAACAUACGGGAUAGCACUUCUCAUUAUCUGAUAUUAGCACAGUAGGCCUCAAGUGAUGUGU
rnacentral:rRNA from 1 species